AAAGGGUAAUCAUUCUUUCGAUCUCCUUCUAUCUUGCUUGUUGGUCUUUUCAUGGAUAUCUCUUGGGUUGGAUAAGAUCUUAAUAAGCGAGAACGUGCUCUAUUUCUGGCACUGAACUUGUCGCCCGAUGAACCUUGGAUGAGAUACUUUGUAUUGAAUUCCAAAGAAGAUCGAUUUAUUGGUUGGUUUGUUGACCUAUUCAAUCUACUGCGACUUGAUGUCCUGCCGAGUUUUGAUUGGUUCAGAAUAGAUCUCUUCUUGCAGUUUCGGGAUCAGUAUUUUGAAGCGAUGAUUGUCUAUAGACUGCAACUAGGGAAUUGAGCCGUUCAUUAGUAGCUUUUUGACGCAUCUUGUCUCUCGAAGCGCCUCACCAUAUUUUGCAUCAUAGUCAUCACCACGGCCAAGUCUGGCUGUGCAGCUGAUGCGGCCUGGCCUCCGGUUCGAGUGUCAUCUUCUUCGACCAUCGUAGAUCUUCUUUGGCGCUUAUUUAUAAUUUCCACUGAUGAUGUCAGUUAUUCAAUUUGAAUUUGGCAUGUUCGAGAUGAAAUCACAAAUUUUAUGGUGAGUUAAUUGAAAGAUAUUUAUUGGAAGAUUAACAAUCGAUUACAAGGAA